GACGAACGCUGGCGGCGUGCUUAACACAUGCAAGUCGAGCGGUAAGGCCCUUUCGGGGGUACACGAGCGGCGAACGGGUGAGUAACACGUGGGUGACCUGCCCUCAGCUCUGGGGAUAAGCCUGGGAAACCGGGUCUAAUACCGGAUAUGACUCCAUGACGCAUGUUGUGGGGUGGAAAGCCUUGUGCGGCUGAGGAUGGGCCCGCGGCCUAUCAGCUUGUUGGUGGGGUGAGGCCUACCAAGGCGACGACGGGUAGCCGGCC
rnacentral:rRNA from 1 species